rnacentral:sRNA from 1 species
GGCCUUAAAUCCGAACUGUCACCGUAUGGUGUGCGUUCAUGGGAUACCCCAUGAUAGGAUUAGGGCCGAAA